rnacentral:rRNA from 1 species
CAGUAGCCGCGGUAAUACAGAGGGUGCGAGCGUUAAUCGGAUUUACUGGGCGUAAAGCGUGCGUAGGCGGCUAAUUGAGUCGGAUGUGAAAUCCCCGAGCUUAACUUGGGAAUUGCAUUCGAUACUGGUUAGCUAGAGUGUGGGAGAGGAUGGUAGAAUUCCAGGUGUAGCGGUGAAAUGCGUAGAGAUCUGGAGGAAUACCGAUGGCGAAGGCAGCCAUCUGGCCUAACAAUGAAGCUGAGGUACGAAAGCAUGGGGAGCAAACAGGAUUAGAUACCCCUGUAGUCCCUGUCUCUUAUAC